GUGAGGAAUAUUGGUCAAUGGGCGCGAGCCUGAACCAGCCAAGUAGCGUGAAGGAUGAAGGUCCUAUGGAUUGUAAACUUCUUUUAUAGCAGAAUAAAGUGACCCACGUGUGGGUUUUUGUAUGUAUGCUAUGAAUAAGGAUCGGCUAACUCCGUGCCAGCAGCCGCGGUAAUACGGAGGAUCCGAGCGUUAUCCGGAUUUAUUGGGUUUAAAGGGUCCGUAGGCGGACUUAUAAGUCAGUGGUGAAAGCCUGUCGCUUAACGAUAGAACUGCCAUUGAUACUGUAAGUCUUGAGUAUAUUUGAGGUAGCUGGAAUAAGUAGUGUAGCGGUGAAAUGCAUAGAUAUUACUUAGAACACCAAUUGCGAAGGCAGGUUACCAAGAUAUAACUGACGCUGAGGGACGAAAGCGUGGGGAGCGAACA
rnacentral:rRNA from 1 species